rnacentral:rRNA from 1 species
UGAGGAAUUUUGCGCAAUGGGCGAAAGCCUGACGCAGCGACGCCGCGUGGAGGAAGACGGCCUUCGGGUUGUAAACUCCUGUCAGGGGUGAAGAAACUUCGCAAGAAGCUGACGGUAACCCCAGAGGAAGCCCCGGCUAACUACGUGCCAGCAGCCGCGGUAAUACGUAGGGGGCAAGCGUUGCUCGGAAUUACUGGGCGUAAAGGGUGUGUAGGUGGCUGAUUAAGUUAAGGAUGAAAUCCCGAGGCUCAACUUCGGAACUGUCCUUGAUACUGGUCAGCUUGAGGCUAGUAAAGUAGGGCGGAAUUCCCGGUUGAUCGAUGAAAUGCGUAGAUAUCGGGAGGAACACCAGAGGCGUAGGCGGUUCUCUAGGCUAGUCCUGACACUGAGACACGAAAGCUAGGGGAGCAAACG